rnacentral:lncRNA from 1 species
GGCUGGAGUGCAGCAGUGUGAUCAUAGCUCACUGCCCCUCAAACUUCUGGGCUCAAGUGAUCCUCCUGCCUCAGCCUCCGGAGUCACUGGGAUUACAGGUACCAGGCAAGAAUACCCACAUCAACAAUUGGAAGCAGUCUCGUGGAGUGCUGUGGAAAGGCGGUGGAUGAAGAUUGACUUGGGAACUUUCUCUUCAUUGUUAAUCUGUUUUUUUUUUUAAAUCCUGCGUAUUAUUAUCUAACUAAUUUCCUAAAAGUAAAUUCCACUUUGUUAAAUUGUCAUUUGAUUGUCAUCUUAAGAUAAGCUAUAAGUAUCUUAAAAAAUAAACUAAAAGGUCUUCUUAUCAAAUAUAUGAAUAUAUCAACUCCCCCAUUCUCUCAUACAUUCUUAUUGUUUCCUUAUAGUUAAAGAAAAUUAUUCAGAUUUGGAAAUCCACACUAGGAAGUGUCAUAUUUAAAACAUGGAUAACAUAUAUGCAAUAAGGUGUAAAUGGCUGAAGAGUAAUUUGCAAAAAUGAAAGAAAUACAGAGAACCUUUAUUUUUCCUAUUUUGCCUUUAUGGCGCAAUGGUAUACUAGUAAAUGUUUAACAACUGGCUCUCUGGGGGGAAAAAGCCCGUAUUCACGGCAUUUGCAGAAUUCUGUGGUGCGAAUAUUCCUACCAUGGCCUAUUUUAAGCUAGUGAUGAAAUUUUACUAAAAGCCAGGUUUUGGAGGAGCUGGGAAGAAACGCACACAGUUGGCUCUCCAGAACUGGGGCAGGCAGCUCCAACACUGCCUUUACGUCUUGUGUUCAUCUCUCUCCUUCUACUUCAACACCCAAUCCAGACCUUUAUUACUUCCUGCCUAAAACAUUAUAAUAGUAGAAUGUCAUAAUUUCCUUGCCCUAUCUAUUUCUCAGUGCUCACUCACUGCUUUUAUUAGUCAAUCAAUAAAAAUGACGCUGAGGCCCGAUGAGCAAUCUUCUUCGCACAUUAAAAAAAUUAAUUUUAAUGGCUACAUAAUAGGUGUAUAUAUUUAUGGGGUACAUGUGAUGUUUUGAUACAGGCAUACAAUGUAUGAUAAUCAUAUCAGGGCAAUUGGGGUAUCCGUCACCUCAAGCAUUUAUUAUUUCUUUGUGUUAGGAACCUUCUAAUUCCACUGUUUUAGUUAUUUUGAAGUAUACAAUAAAUUAUUGUUG